rnacentral:rRNA from 1 species
UACGAAGGGGGCUAGCGUUGUUCGGAAUUACUGGGCGUAAAGCGCAUGUAGGCGGAUAUUUAAGUCAGGGGUGAAAUCCCGCGGCUCAACUGCGGAACUGCCUUUGAUACUGGGUAUCUUGAGUAUGGAAGAGGUGAGUGGAAUUCCGAGUGUAGAGGUGAAAUUCGUAGAUAUUCGGAGGAACACCAGUGGCGAAGGCGGCUCACUGGUCCAUUACUGACGCUGAGGUGCGAAAGCGUGGGGAGCAAACAGG